CGUCUAGAAAUUUGUAAAAUUCGAUAGUAAAAUUAUAAUAAUAACCUAAUAAUCUUGUUUUUACGGCACACAUUUAUAAAAAAUUCAAAUACGACGAAUAUUACACACGGCAUUACGUAUUCGUGAUACGUAGUUAAUUUUAUGUCUCUAAUAAAAGUGAAUAGUUUUUUCGAAAACUAAACUACCGUCACACUAUCUGUAGCUAUAUAAAACCUUUAAUCAUUUUUUCGCUCAAGCGAAUUAGG